CGAAAUCGUAGCGAAUGGGAUCAUUUUUGGGAGGAAGAGGGACGGAGGGGAGCUGAGGGGUCCAGUUUAACGUAGACGAAGAAGGUUCAGGAAUGGCGAAAGGACAUCCUGAGAUGUCGUUUGGAACAGCCGAAGGAGAGCUUAACAUGGACGUACAAUCCAUGGAUGUUUCUUUGGGAGGAAAAACGUGGGAGUGCUCGCACGUCACCCAAUUCGGAUUCCUAUAUAUUUCGCAAGGCGAAUCGUUGUACCACGCGAUACUCGUUUCUGCCGUCCAAUAAAAUGGAAAUGUCCCCGUUGCUGACACGAUGAGAGGGAAAUGGUCUACGCGGGGUGGAACCCUUUAUUGUUCCGCAGGAGUAAAGCAGCGUGCAGGCACGCAUAACGUCUACGGAAACACGCGUCAUGUUUGAAACGGAGUACUGAAAACCCGAACACACAGGAUAAAGCAUGCCCAGAAUUUUGAUUCGAUUUCGCGUAAGCCGCAGGCGAUGCGGUUGUACCGCACAUUUGGAAAUGCCGUUAUCUCUCACGAACUUGCACAUAAUUUGCCAACGUGAAAAGGAUCACGAUUUGCAUCGGCGAAGAGGAAUGAAAAUUUCGCAUUUGUUUAUGAUAAUUCCGUUCGAAUGGUAGAUAUUUUGCCGAUGAU